GAAAAUCCGUUGACUUUAAAAAUCGUGAGGGUUCAA
rnacentral:tRNA from 1 species